UACGGAGGGUGCAAGCGUUGCUCGGAUUUACUGGGCGUAAAGAGCUAGUAGGCGGUUUGGUAAGUCUGAUGUGAAAGCCCUGGACUCAAUCCAGGAAGUGCAUUGGAUACUGCUAGACUAGAGUGCAGGAGAGGUGAGCGGAAUUCCAGGUGUAGAGGUGAAAUUCGUAGAUAUCUGGAGGAACAACGGAGGUGAAGGCGGCUCACUGGACUGAUACUGACGCUGAGGAGCGAAAGUGUGGGUAGCGAACAGG
rnacentral:rRNA from 1 species